ACGAUUAAGACUUCCUUCGGGAAGUGAUAAAGUGGCGCACGGGUGAGUAACACGUAAGUAAUCUACCUUCGAGUGGGGAAUAACGUCCGGAAACGGACGCUAAUACCGCAUAAUGCAGCGGCAUCGUAAGAUGACAGUUGUUAAAGGAGCAAUUCGCUUGAAGAGGAGCUUGCGGCAGAUUAGCUAGUUGGUAAGGUAAUGGCUUACCAAGGCUACGAUCUGUAACCGGUCUAAGAGGACGGUCGGUCACACUGACACUGAAUAACGGGUCAGACUCCUACGGGAGGCAGCAGUCGGGAAUUUUGGGCAAUGGGCGAAAGCCUGACCCAGCAACGCCGCGUGAAGGAUGAAGUAUUUCGGUAUGUAAACUUCGAAAGAAUAGGAAGAAUUAAUGACGGUACUAUUUAUAAGGUCCGGCUAACUACGUGCCAGCAGCCGCGGUAAUACGUAGGGACCAAGCGUUGUUCGGAUUUACUGGGCGUAAAGGGCGCGUAGGCGGCAUGACAAGUCACUUGUGAAAUCUCCGGGCUUAACUCGGAACGGUCAAGUGAUACUGUCGCGCUAGAGUGCGGAAGGGGCAAUCAGAAUUCUUGGUGUAGCGGUGAAAUGCGUAGAUAUCAAGAGGAAUACCUGAGGUGAAGACGGGUUGCUAGGCCGACACUGACGCUGAAGCGCGAAAGCCAGGG
rnacentral:rRNA from 1 species